CUAAAUCAGACUUAUCUGUUCGAAACCUUUUUCCCCUCCAAUUUGAACUUACUCUGCAACUCUCCCCUACUGUAACCCAUCCAUGCAAUCCUCUCUAGAUCUUCCUUCCUCCAGUAUUCGUCUGCUUUAUCUAUCUCUUCCUCUUUCUCUUUCACAUACCUUUAGACACACCUUUUCGCUCUCCGUCCAACCUCUCCAAGCUGCUGAGUUCUCAUUUUCUGGCAAAUAUAUCCUACUAAUUUACUCCCAAUAAUUCAAAUGGAGCCUUAGCUUGCCAGCUGACUUCGGUCUGCAAAGAGGACACUGCACUUGUUUGAGGUAUGUGAAAUUGAAUUCCUGGAAAUGGGUCGAGAUGGAAUUUUGGUUCCGGUGGAGUCCCUGAAGAAGAAGACUGCGGUUUCCAGGAGCUGGAUUUUGCUGGAUCACAACGGGCAGAGUACCAUUCUUGAUGUGGACAAGUACGCUAUCAUGCGUAGAGUCCAGAUUCACGCCAGAGAUCUUCGAAUCCUUGAUCCUCUUUUAUCAUAUCCUUCAGCGAUCUUGGGCAGAGAAGGAGUUAUUGUUCUCAAUUUGGAGCAUAUCAAAGCAAUAAUCACAGCAGAGGAGGUAUUGCUUAGAGACCCAUUGGACGAUAAUGUAAUCCCUGUUGUUGAGGAACUUCAAAGACGAUUACCUUUUGUAAAUGUUACGAGCGAAAUACAAGGCGAAGAGGAAGAGCAUCCUGGGGUGCCAAAAGAUUUUGAUACAGGGGAAGAAAAUGAAUUUCCAUUUGAAUUCCGAGCAUUAGAAGUUGCAUUAGAAGCCAUUUGUAGUUUUCUAGAUGCGCGUACUCGAGAACUGGAGACCGAUGCUUAUCCUGCUUUAGAUGAGCUGACCUCCAAGAUUAGCAGUCGUAAUCUCGAUCGGGUGCGUAAACUGAAGAGUUCCAUGACAAGGUUGACAAAUCGUGUUCAAAAGGUAAGGGAUGAACUUGAGCAACUUCUGGAUGAUGAUGAUGAUAUGGCAGACCUUUACUUAUCAAGAAAAUUAGCUGGCUUAUCUUCACCUGUCAGUGGCUCUGGUGCCCCCAAUUGGUUUCUUAACUCUCCUACCAUAGGUUCAAAGAUAUCCAGAACAAGUAGGGCCAGUGCAACAACAAUGCAAGGGGAGAACGAUGUUGAAGACCUUGAAAUGUUGCUUGAGGCUUACUUCAUGCAGAUAGAUGGCACAUUGAACAAAUUGACUACGUUGCGUGAAUACAUUGACGACACAGAGGACUACAUCAAUAUCCAGGUACAGAGUUGGACAACUUGAAUAGAGAGUCAUUCCUGUAGGAUAUUUUUGAAAGUUUAGGAAUACGUCUUGUAUUUCUGUCAAUUGAAUUUGUAGUUUCUGUUAGUUAUAUUAUCAAAAUCCUCCAAGGCAAUUUAACAAUGGCUUUAAUUCAAUGGUAGUGGAGUCAUUUUCAAGCUAUGAAGUUUCAAAGUCGAAUCUUUGUGGGAGUCGAAUGAAAAAAAAAAAAAAAUCCUCCAGGGCAAUUUGACACUAAAAAUAUGCAUUUUUUUUGUUUGCUACAGCUUGAUAAUCAUAGGAAUCAACUAAUUCAGGUGCGCUUGCUGAAUCUAUAUGUAUAUUUGAUUUCCUUCUUUUUUGUUAGGCGUUGAUUUCUCUCAUCUCCUUAUUUAGAUAAUUAUAUUUUUUUACGUUUGCUGUUUGAGCUAGUCCAGAAUAUCUUAAAUUAAUUUUGCUUGGAACAAUUUCAUCUGCACAACAUUGAUUAAUCAUUUUUAUUUAUUACUGUGGCAGCUAGAGCUCUUACUAUGUUCAGGGACUGUGUGUUUGUCUGUGUAUUCCCUAGUGGCAGCAAUUUUUGGCAUGAAUUUACAAUACACAUGGAGGGAGGGCCAUAGUUACGUAUUUAAAUGGGUAUGUGUAGUAAUCACCUUAAAACCAAAAGAAUAUUACAUAAACUGAAAAAAUAAACCAAUAUUUUUUUAAUUUGCUAAAGAUCCUGAAUCAUACCGACUUGGAAGAGUUUAUUUUUCUCACACCCUAUUCUUUUUGCCUCCAACAUUAGGUGGUCAUCCUCACAGCCAUAAUUUGUGCAAGUAUUUUCACAUCAAUAAUUUCAUAUGCUCGGCACAAAGGUCUUGUUGGGUCUUGAUUCCUGAAUGAAUACAUUACAUGUACAAAAAACCAGCUAGAAGGAGAUGCAGAAUAAAGCUUGAAAUAGUACUUCCAAGUCCUUUACUUUUGGUGGCUUUAGGAACAUGUUCAACGACUCGAUCAUCAAUUCCGGUGCGAAACCCAAAUAAGUAAAAUGCUAUGUCUAUCAUUGGUAUGUAGAAAAUAUUGGAUCGAUCAUGGGUUAGGUGGUCAUGUCGUUAGUCAUUGAAUUUAGCUAGAAAGUGGGUGCCAUAGAGGCAUUAAUUUGUUAGCUAGUACUGGGUUAAUAAAAACAUGUAUAGUGAGAUUGGCCUUUAGUUGUAACUAAAAUCCAGGACCAGGAGAGAUAUUAUUGUUGUGUGAAGAACAGGUGAGAUCGAAUUCAUGAUUUGUGUCCCAGUGCAUUUGACAUUAACAAGCAAUGUGGGCUACUGCUGGGGCCGAUUCAAUUUGCUUCCAGGGGUUAGGGUUAGACCUCCCCUGUGAAAGCACUACUCUUGAAAAAGAGGAGCACGCAGCCAUUGAUUGCUUUUGCUAGCUGAUCAUAUGAAGCAAUGUGAAUUCCAUUUUCACAUACAUAUUAUAUAUUAGUUAUUAUAUAUUAAAUUUUUCGACAUGAGUAAUAAUUUCACUGGUGAAAUCAAUGAGGUCAAAAUUAAUAUUUUUAUAUGAAAUAUAAUAAAUUAAAAUGUCGAACUAGUUAAUAAAUGAGUUUUUUUUUAAAUUUUAUUUAUUAUAGUUUGAAUUAUGAGUUUGAUUACAUUUACAAAUGAUUAUAAAUCUAUAAAAUUAGGGGUGUGAAUGGUUUAAUAUUAAUUUAUAAUAAAAUAAAAAUGAAAAUAUAAUACCAUUUUAGCUGAAUUCUCUUGCAUUAUGUAUUUUUCCAGACCCAUGAUGCUAUUAGCCAUGUGGGACGUGAGAUCAGCAGGGUGCCAAGUUGAUAUAUGUAUAUCCUCAAAUGUUCCACGCUAUAUUUUAGUAUCCAAGAAGGUCCACGUGAAGCGUGAGAUCAGCAGGCAGCUUGUAACAGAGUAAAUUUAUCCUCCUGCUGUGCUUCAUUUCUCAUGAAAAUUACAAUUAAGUACUUUUAUUUUUAGUCCAAGUAGCUUAACAACUAAUCUUAG
rnacentral:misc_RNA from 1 species